rnacentral:rRNA from 1 species
CAAAAGCGUAUAUUAAAGUUGUUGCAGUUAAAAAGCUCGUAGUUGAACCUUGGGCUUGGCUGGCCGGUCCAUCUUUUUUGAUGCGUACUGGACCCAGCCGAGCCUUUCCUUCUGGCUAGCCUUUUGGCGAACCAGGACUUUUACUUUGAAAAAAUUAGAGUGUUCAAAGCAGGCCUUUGCUCGAAUAUAUUAGCAUGGAAUAAUAGAAUAGGACGUUAUGGUUCUAUUUUGUUGGUUUCUAGGACCAUCGUAAUGAUUAAUAGGGACGGACGGGGGUAUCAGUAUUCAGUUGUCAGAGGUGAAAUUCUUGGAUUUACUGAAGACUAACUACUGCGAAAGCAUUUACCAAGGACGUUUUCAUUAA